CUCAGUGCCAGUUGCUGACGCUCUGACCGCCAGAAGAAGUUGGCCUGUUCUCCAUUGAACAGUUUACAGGUGACGCUCCAGUAACCUGCCGUUUUCUGUGUUUUGCAGGGAGAGGAGAAAGAUUUCAAGUCUCUACUCAGGAAACAGAAGCUCAGUCAGACUCCCAUGGCCUUUAUUGAACUGUAAAUGGAAAAGAAAUGAGGAGGAGAGAGAAGGAGAAGAUGUGCCGCAAAUGGCCCAGGAAGCAAACCCAGGACAACUGCUUGAAGGACUGCAGAUGCUAAACCAUCCAGUCUAACGCCUAAAUGGAGGAAACAUUGUGCAUUCUUCAGAGCCAAAACGCACCAAUCGCUUCUGACACACACAAACACAGCCUCGCGCUGGCCGAGGCGAGAAAUUGUUGCACCCUCCACUCUACCAGCAAAGAACCCUGCUCAGAUGCAAAUUCAAAUGUCAGCUUACUUUCUCCUCAAAGGCAGUGUCAGCUCAAUGAAUGAGUGGGAUCUUAAAAUCAGGUAAUUGUUUUUGGCAGAUCAUUGUAUUUAGUUACAGUAUUGAGUGAAGCUAAACCACCUAAAGGUGCAAAAGGAGGGGAAGCAAAUGCACACAGACACAUGCAAAAGGGAUACAUGAGAAGAACAGCAUCUUUUUUUUUCUUAUUUAAAGUCUUUGUGCAGAGAUUAAAAUGGAAACAUUUUAUUUUACAUUGUUAGAAAAUGGGCCUCUUUGUAAUAGCACUUUCUGUUCCAAUACUUUUUAAAUCUGGGUAUGAUAUUAAAAGGUUCACUUCUAUCCCUGAGAUCAUAUACAUCAGUUUUCAACAAAUUUCAAUAUUAUUGGAAAGUUCUUUUAUAUCAGUAACUCAAUUUAUCAAUUAAAACAUAUUAUAUACAAUGUAUCUGGAGAAUAUUCACUGUUUGCACAUUUUUUUAUGUUGCAGCCUUAUUUCAAAUUGUAUUAAAUUAACUUCUUUUCUCAAAAUUAUACACUCAAACACUCCAUUAUAACAUUGUGAUUUUUUUUGUGCGUUUUGCAAGUUUUCCAAAAUUCAUCAGCCAUUUGCAGAGAGAACAGAGAUGAAUUGACAAUUCAAGAAAGAAUGUAAAGUCAGAAAACAUUUGUAAAGGCUAAAAGUCUAAAACAGCUAAGCAGAACAUAACCUAUGUACCAGAAAGGAAAACUAGCAAAAUAAAAUAAUUUGCAUCAAUCUCUACUGGAUAUAAAAUACAGCCACAUUUUUCAUGUAAUGUAAAGUCAUAUAUCACCACAUCUAUUUCCCUCCCCUGGCAUGGGAGCAGACAGGUGAUGAAGUCUUGUCUCUCUCAUAAUCUUGUUAUUGCUGCACUUCUCAGCUUUGGACUAAGGCCAAAACACAUAUUACACAAAUAAAACAAGAGGAAGACAGACUGGGGAGGGUAAAGUGAAAGCUGCAGCCUCUGCAUCUCUUCUCUGUCCCAGAAUCCCACUGGAUGACAGAUGGUUCUCUACAUCCAUGCCUUUUACCUGGUGGGAGACAAUUGAACUUUGAGAUUACAUACAAAUAUAUAAUCUGUGCAUGUAAAUUUAUUUAAUUUUAAUGCAACCCUAUUCAAAACCCAAGCCGAGAAAAUACCACUGUACCACUGUGGUUACAAAACAACUCGUUUACAAAGAGUAAAAUACUUCAACUUAACUAGCUUAACUAGUUUUAGAUCAAUAAAAUUUUGAUCUAAAACUAGAUGUGACCUCUACAUUCUUGCUUCAGGCUCUGCAACAUAAAGAGUGCCCUUUAGUAGCACAUAAAGGGCACAUCACAUGCUUGACAUUUAAACCAUUUGAACCAAGAAAUAAUGUAGUACUUGAGCUCCCCCACUGUUGAUACCGAAUAGGCAAAUGACUGCUUCGUUGGAGCAUCUUACAACACAACAAAAAGCAUAAAACCAAACCGUGAUGUCCGAGACAGUUGUGUGCCAGA